UCUUUUCAUUUAAGGCGAGUGGAAUAAAAUAAAAAGUAUGGCGGUCUUCGAUCUUGUCAGAGGGACAUGUAUUAAAAACGAAUUUGCACGAUUAUCUGUCUCAAUUUAGAAUGAAUUCAUUUUGUACACCGCUGUCUGAAAGAAAUUAUAAAAGUAUUUUCUUAUCUCCUUUGAGGAAAUAAGGCAAGUUAAGGUGCAGAUCAUGAUUGAGGUAAUAUGUGUUCCAUUAGAAAUAGUAGACUAGUAAAUGAAGAAAAACUAAGAAAAAGAAUUUGAUAGUAAGAUUGGUUAACUAAACUGAUCUGAAAAAAGCUAUAGAAGGUGU
rnacentral:rRNA from 5 species